AGUGAACGCUGGCGGUAGGCCUAACACACGCAAGUCGAACGGCAGCACAGUAAGAGCUUGCUCUUACGGGUGGCGAGUGGCGGACGGGUGAGGAAUACAUCGGAAUCUACUUUUUCGUGGGGGAUAACGUAGGGGAACUUACGCUAAUACCGCAUACGACCUACGGGUGAAAGCAGGGGAUCUUCGGACCUUGCGCGAUUGAAUGAGCCGAUGUCGGAUUAGCUAGUUGGCGGGGUAAAGGCCCACCAAGGCGACGAUCCGUAGCUGGUCUGAGAGGAUGAUCAGCCACACUGGAACUGAGACACGGUCCAGACUCCUACGGGAGGCAGCAGUGGGGAAUAUUGGACAAUGGGCGCAAGCCUGAUCCAGCCAUGCCGCGUGGGUGAAGAAGGCCUUCGGGUUGUAAAGCCCUUUUGUUGGGAAAGAAAAGCAGCAGGUUAAUACCCCGCUGUUCUGACGGUACCCAAAGAAUAAGCACCGGCUAACUUCGUG
rnacentral:rRNA from 1 species